rnacentral:rRNA from 1 species
AUUGAACGCUGGCGGCAUGCCUUACACAUGCAAGACGAACGGCAGCAUAGGAGCUUGCUCCUGAUGGCGAGUGGCGAACGGGUGAGUAAUAUAUCGGAACGUGCCCUAGAGUGGGGGAUAACUAGUCGAAAGACUAGCUAAUACCGCAUACGAUCUACGGAUGAAAGGGGGGGAUCGCAAGACCUCAUGCUCCUGAAGCGGCCGAUAUCUGAUUAGCUAGUUGGUGGGGUAAAAGCCUACCAAGGCAACGAUCAGUAGCUGGUCUGAGAGGACGACCAGCCACACUGGGACUGAGACACGGCCCAGACUCCUACGGGAGGCAGCAGUGGGGAAUUUUGGACAAUGGGGGCAACCCUGAUCCAGCAAUGCCGCGUGAGUGAAGAAGGCCUUCGGGUUGUAAAGCUCUUUUGUCAGGGAAGAAACGGUAGUAGCGAAUAACUACUACUAAUGACGGUACCUGAAGAAUAAGCACCGGCUAACUACGUGCCAGCAGCCGCGGUAA